UACGUAGGGUGCGAGCGUUAAUCGAAAUUACUGGGCGUAAAGGGUGCGCAGGCGGUUCUGUAAGACCGGCGUGAAAUCCCCGGGCUCAACCUGGGAAUUGCGCUGGUGACUGCAGGGCUAGAGUACGGUAGAGGGGGGUGGAAUUCCUGGUGUAGCAGUGAAAUGCGUAGAGAUCAGGAGGAACACCGAUGGCGAAGGCAGCCCCCUGGGCCUGUACUGACGCUCAUGCACGAAAGCGUGGGGAGCAAACAGG
rnacentral:rRNA from 1 species